AUUGAACGCUGGCGGCAUGCCUUACACAUGCAAGUCGAACGGCAGCACGGGAGCAAUCCUGGUGGCGAGUGGCGAACGGGUGAGUAAUAUAUCGGAACGUGCCCGGUCGUGGGGAUAACGUAGCGAAAGCUACGCUAAUACCGCAUACGAUCUACGGAUGAAAGCGGGGGAUCGCAAGACCUCGCGCGAUUGGAGCGGCCGAUAUCAGAUUAGGUAGUUGGUGAGGUAAAGGGCUCACCAAGCCGACGAUCUGUAGCUGGUCUGAGAGGACGACCAGCCACACUGGGACUGAGACACGGCCCAGACUCCUACGGGAGGCAGCAGUGGGGAAUUUUGGGACAAUGGGCGCAAGCCUGAUCCAGCAAUGCCGCGUGCAGGAUGAAGGCCUCGG
rnacentral:rRNA from 1 species